AGUUUACCCUGUACUGUGCUGCAAAAUAUUACUUUCUCCCCAUCUGGAAUUCUUCCCUUCCUCCUUCCUGCCGCAGUGGUGUACUGAGCACUUUCACGUAAGAGUAUUCCUCCACUCGAACAACCCCCCGGAGAAGUACUGGUGUCACUGCCACCUGCGAGAGUUUGCGGCUACCUCCCCAAGAGGCAGUCCCAGGGUUAUUGUGACCUAUGAUGUUUAUUCAACUACUGUUGACGGGCUGCUGUGCACAGGGAACCUAGUAGGCAAGACCCCUGCCAUCGUGCAGCUUACUGUCAGGUUGACACAGACCUUAAGAAAGAACAAAAUUUUAAAUAAAUUAAAAACGACACCUGUAAUUUGAGAAGAUGCUUGAUAUCAGAAGAGGAGAAGAGUGGAGAGGGGUGGAGUGGCAAAGGAGAGCCUCCAAACCAAAAGCCUGCGGCAGAGGCCCUAGGAGGCAAGCACUUAACCAUGUUUCAGGACUAGAAACGAAACAUGUGACAAGACCUUUAAAAACAAAUAGAAUGGGAUGGAAUAAAGUUGGAUGAGUAAGCAGGCAUCAAAUCAUUCAGAAACUUGUUGUCCAAGUUGAAGAAUUUGUUUAGUAUUGUAUAAUAAAUGCAGAGGAAGCUAUAUACACUUAUAAUUUACAUUUUUUAAAGGCCACGUUGUAGCUCAAUCGGAUAGUUUGUCUUUUGAUGGGAUGUAGUAUACAGUAUCAUCAUGGUAUAUUCCAGGCAAAAAUAUUUAACUUGAAUCUGUCAAGCCUUUGCAUCUAACACAGUUUAUAAAAAAUACAACAGAUAGAUGAACAAACUAAAUGAUGCCAGAGGAAGUAACUAGACAGAUCCAGAAGGUGAAACAUUCUGCAGGAUAACUGGCCCAUCUCUUCAACAAUUUGUCAUGAUAAAAGCAACUGCUUUAUGAAAAGAAAUUUAAGGGACAUAACAGUUUGAAUUGGAUCCUGGUUUGAACAGACUGUCUAUAAAAUGCAUUUUCAGGACCAUUAAAGAAAUAUGAAUGUAGAUGGACUGAGUAUUGGAUAAAAUAGAACUGUAUUGCCAUGGAAAAGAUCAUUAACUGAAAAGAGCAAGUCACGAAAUAGUAUGUUACAGCAUCUCAUUUUGGUUUAAAAAUGCACAUAUAUGUAUUUAUGUACAACUAAAAAAAUAGUGGGCUUAUACCCUAAGGUGUUAGUAUUGGUAAUCUUUGGAAGUGGAAAUGUG
rnacentral:lncRNA from 1 species